UGGGGAAUUUUGGACAAUGGGCGCAAGCCUGAUCCAGCCAUGCCGCGUGCGGGAAGAAGGCCUUCGGGUUGUAAACCGCUUUUGUCAGGGAAGAAAAGGUUCUGGCUAAUACCUGGGACUGAUGACGGUACCUGAAGAAUAAGCACCGGCUAACUACGUGCCAGCAGCCGCGGUAAUACGUAGGGUGCGAGCGUUAAUCGGAAUUACUGGGCGUAAAGCGUGCGCAGGCGGUUAUGCAAGACAGAGGUGAAAUCCCCGGGCUCAACCUGGGAACUGCCUUUGUGACUGCAUGGCUAGAGUGCGGCAGAGGGGGAUGGAAUUCCGCGUGUAGCAGUGAAAUGCGUAGAUAUGCGGAGGAACACCGAUGGCGAAGGCAAUCCCCUGGGCCUGCACUGACGCUCAUGCACGAAAGCGUGGGGAGCAAACA
rnacentral:rRNA from 1 species